UCAGUUAUCGUUUAUUUGAUAGUACCUUACUACAUGGAUACCUGUGGUAAUUCUAGAGCUAAUACAUGCUACAAACCCCGACUUCGGAAGGGGUGUAUUUAUUAGAUAAAAAACCAACGCCCUUCGGGGCUCCUUGGUGAAUCAUAAUAACUUAACGAAUCGCAUGGCCUUGCGCCGGCGAUGGUUCAUUCAAAUUUCUGCCCUAUCAACUUUCGAUGGUAGGAUAGUGGCCUACCAUGGUGGCAACGGGUAACGGGGAAUUAGGGUUCGAUUCCGGAGAGGGAGCCUGAGAAACGGCUACCACAUCCAAGGAAGGCAGCAGGCGCGCAAAUUACCCAAUCCCGAUACGGGGAGGUAGUGACAAUAAAUACUGAUACGGGGCUCUUUCGGGUCUCGUAAUUGGAAUGAGAACAAUUUAAAUCCCUUAACGAGGAACAAUUGGAGGGCAAGUCUGGUGCCAGCAGCCGCGGUAAUUCCAGCUCCAAUAGCGUAUAUUAAAGUUGUUGCAGUUAAAAAGCUCGUAGUUGAACCUUGGGCCUGCUGGCCGGUCCGCCUCACCGCGAGUACUGGUCCGGCUGGGCCUUUCCUUCUGGGGAACCUCAUGGCCUUCACUGGCUGUGGGGGGAACCAGGACUUUUACUGUGAAAAAAUUAGAGUGUUCAAAGCAGGCCUUUGCUCGAAUACAUUAGCAUGGAAUAAUAGAAUAGGACGUGCGGUUCUAUUUUUGUUGGUUUCUAGGACCGCCGUAAUGAUUAAUAGGGAUAGUCGGGGGCGUCAGUAUUCAGCUGUCAGAGGUGAAAUUCUUGGAUUUGCUGAAGACUAACUACUGCGAAAGCAUUCGCCAAGGAUGUUUUCAUUAAUCAGGGAACGAAAGUUAGGGGAUCGAAGACGAUCAGAUACCGUCGUAGUCUUAACCAUAAACUAUGCCGACUAGGGAUCGGACGGGAUUCUAUG
rnacentral:rRNA from 1 species